CAAGAACAAGCUAAGCUUGCAGCUUCUCCUGGUAGCAGCGUUGUCACGGGAAGCUCUAGCACGAGUGGGAAAGAGGACACGGAUGCUGGUGCAGGGGCUGUGGAAGGGGUGCGGUGGACAUUGAAGUCCUCUCAACCGGGUCUUUUCCAAAACCCACUUGAACUGGCCAGGAUGCUACCGCUAAAGGAAACCCCAUCAUCAAGGCGAUAAAAAAUCAAUAAUAUCUUAGAACGCAGGAGCUGCGUUGAAGGGUCUUAAAAGACUUGUCUGAUGCUAGUCUGACUUCCCGUGAGCACGGCAGGGCAGUUGGCUCAUGUCUUGAAGCGUAGUAUCGAGGACAUUUUCUCACGUAGGAAGCAUAUUGCAACACAGCUCAUGAUAACGCAAUUUAUUUGUUGC